AGGAUCGCCGGGGGCGCGGCUGCGAGAUAACCAUUAGCGCGGCCGCCGAUAAAGCGGGGACGCUGCGUUUCCACAGGCUCCGCGGCCAUUACGGGAAAGGAAUAUCUGCACAAUGCCACCAGUGGAUGCAGCAGUGACUGGGAAAUAGGAUCCCAAUCACUGUUCUCGAGUCUGGGGCUUGUCUUUCCCACGCCUCCUAGCUUUGCUCCUGUUGAGCCAUACUUGGGGUCUUCAAAUGCAAUCUGUGGUGCAAUGGCAAGUGAGUGCCUUGAAGAGAAGCAUAGUCACCAUACCAUCUCCAACACAUUGUCAGGGUUCCAGGAGCUCUGAAGUUCCCCAAAAUUCACCCAACAUUUUUGAAGUUCUCCUGAAUGCCAGACCUACUAGAUUCAAAGGCAGAUUGAGACUACUUUUGCCUUCACUUUCGAAGAGGGAACUGAUGUCUGCAGACCACGGCAGUGCCUGAUAAGGAAACUAAGGCCCAAAGAGACACAGUAACUUGCCCAAGGCCACACAACCAGCCUGGCAUUGAGACUAAAUGAAGCAGAAUGCCUCUCUCCUCUCCUCCCACCAUUCCAAGACCAACUGCAAAGAGGCUGAAUUUGCCUUUGACAAAGAUCAUGUGCCUCCCUCUUCAACAUCUCAUUCAUUCAACUAUUUUCU